rnacentral:rRNA from 1 species
AUUGAACGCUGGCGGCAUGGCUAAAACAUGCAAGUCGAACGAUCCCCUCGGGGAGAGUGGCGAAAGGGCGAGGAAUAGAAUCGAAUGUACCCCAAGGUGGGGGAUAGCCUCUGGAAACGGAGGGUAAUACCCCAUGUGCUCUACGGAGGAAAGGUUUACCGCCUUGGGAGCAGCGAUUCUCCUAUCAGGUAGUUGGUGAGGUAACGGCUCACCAAGCCGAAGACGGGUAGCGGGUGUGAGAGCAUGACCCGCCGCAUCGGGACUGAGACACUGCCCGGACUCCUACGGGAGGCUGCAGUAACGAAUCUUCCGCAAUGGGCGAAAGCCUGACGGAGCAAUGCCGCGUGUGGGAUGAAGCAUCUUCGAUGUGUAAACCACUGUCAGGGUCUAGGAAUACUGACCAGACCCAAAGGAAGGGCCGGCUAAUUCCGUG